rnacentral:ncRNA from 1 species
AAAAAAUCAGUGAAAAAGAGAGUAGUUCUUUGGGAAGUCGAAGCGAGUCAGGGAUGGUGGGAGCCUGAUACGAAGCAAAGAAUGAAGCGCACUUUUGAGAUGUUUGCCUGAAAAUAGUAGGGCAAACCGGAGUUGUUCUCCGUUAACAAGCCAAGCUGGUUCUUAUAGAACAAGUAGAGUGGUACCGCGAGUUAACUCUCGUCUCUUCA